CAAAAAACACUGACCUAGACCACUAUCGUAAAGCUACCUAGAGACAAAAAACACUUACAAUAAAACACACGCCAUUGCGUGACUAACGCCAACUACCACAGGUACGGUAUUUCCGCCUUCUCCGCAGUUUUGCUUUCCGCGGAUUCCGUUACCCCUGGCAACUGGCAUCCGGAAGCGGAUGAUCCUCCCGACGCAGCGUCAGGUCCGGGGUAGCCUAACACUGUGUCCCAAACGCCUGGGUCGUUCGUUUCUCUUCAUCUCUUCUCGAAGGCAUUUUAUCGUCUCACAUCAUCGCAAGCAGGGUGCUGCUGCUUGAUGCUUUUUGAUAGCAAAUGAGAGAAAACCAAGAAAAAACGCUCAUUGUGCAUUAAGUCAUCUGCCCUCGCUGCAAAGAAUUUCCAAAAGAAAUUUCUUCUUUCAGAAGGUCAGAUUUGACUGCACCAUCACCACAGAGUAAUUGCUUUUCCACACCAAGCAAGUAAAAGAUGAAGUAAAUGUGCCCAGAAGAGUUUGGAACCUCAAUAAAAUAUUUCUAAGAAUAUGA